GAUGAACGCUGGCGGCGUGCAUAACACAUUCAAGUCGAGCGAAGAAGAGUUGAAUGAGAGCUUCGGCAGGAUUUCUUCUCAUCUUAGUGGCGGACGGGUGAGUAACGUGUGGGCAACCUGCCCUGUACUGUGGAAUAAUCACUGGAAACGGUGACUAAUACCGCAUGUCAUCACUGGAGGGCAUCCUCUGGUGAAAAAAGGAUUUAUUCGGUACAGGAUGGGCCCGCAUCUGAUUAGCUAGUUGGUGAGAUAACAGCCCACCAAGGCGACGAUCAGUAGCCGACCUGAGAGGGUGAUCGGCCACAUUGGGACUGAGACACGGCCCAAACUCCUGCGGGAGGCAGCAGUGGGGAAUAUUGCACAAUGGGGGAAACCCUGAUGCAGCAACGCCGCGUGAAGGAUGAAGGUUUUCGGAUCGUAAACUUCUAUCAACAGGGAAGAAACAAAUGACGGUACCUGAAUAAGAAGCCCCGGCUAACUACGUGCCAGCCGCCGCGGUAAAAC
rnacentral:rRNA from 1 species